GCUGCAAAGGGAUAAGGAUUUCUCCGAAGAACACUUCAGCAGUAGUCAGUCUAUGUGAACUAGGCUACACAAUCCUACUUUGUAAACUUCAGGAAACCACCAAAAACUCAUACGCGACUACUUCGCAAACAUUAUGCUAUAGUAAAUGGUAACGUUAGCCAACCUUUUGCUUUUCAGGCUGACGCUGUAGGUUACAUCUGCGGAGUUCAAGGACAUAAUACCACAUUAAGUUACUUUAGUAUCGGCUAGGAAUUAGGCUACACUAUUGAUCAUCGACACACUUACAAUAACACAAAUGGCUUCAAACACAGACUUCCAGAGAUCCAGAGAAGUGCAACUAAACAAGAUGUGCCCACAACAACGAGCGCGGUAUCAGGCCUAUUUGGAACCAUGUAAAGAGGCUCAGCGCAGCAUGAGGCUAGCAAAGCAGAGAGUUUGCGCAGCGAAGAUUCUGCAUGAUGGCAACACCUGCCAGCCCCAGACUGAUGAGGACGAGAAGACGCGCCAGGACGUACUCUUUGGACAGCUGAAGGCUGCUGAAGCUCGCUGUCGAAUUCGUCAAAUGCGAUUGAACUAUCACAACUUCAGGGCAGGGUUUCACACUACUUACUUGACAACUUCACGAACACCUUUAUAUUUAACGCCUCAGCAUUGUAUCAUCUUAGGCAAUCUAAUAAGCCUAAACACCUUUGUGUCUCAAGCUCUUUCCAGAAAGACCAAUAGUAUGAUGUGCCAAUAAAUUCCCUCUCUCUUUUUGCAAAUCUCCAGGCCCAGGAAAUUAACUUAAUGAUUUCAAGCCAGGCCACUGCCCAGAAAGCUUUGAGUGUGGAGUUGCUGCUGCCAGCCAACGAGAGAAAAAUGAAGACUAAUGACAGCUUGGACAAACUGCAGAGGCAACGGGUCGAGGAGAUCUUGGACGAUGAGAGGGAACUGACCUUCGCUUUUGUGUGAAACGCCUGCGGAAUCUUUUGAAUGUAACAUUAUGUGUUUCCCCAGUCACCUCACUACAGGAUUUUGAUGAGAAGCUGGAAAUGGAAACAUUUUUAUUAUAAUGUUUUCUUUUAACCUUCUGACUCAAUGAAAAGAAACACAUGCUGAGCUGAGAAAGUGUCUAACCGAGAGUAGAGAAAACAUGUCAUAAGUACUACCUCACGCCACCUCUUGACAUUGUGACAUGAAUGUUCAGGUUUUGCUCGUUUAUGAAUAAAAGAAAUGGUCUUGUCAUGGCA